UCCACACUGAAUUUUACAAGCGGGAUGGAUUUCUCUAAGGCAGAAGACUGAUUUUUGAAAAUAUGUAUUUGGGAGACAGUCACGUCCUAUUGAAUACCUUGUGCUGGUGCUGCCAUCGAAAAAUCUGGUUACACUCCGGGGAGGACUGCUACCACUGCAGAACUGAACCACUUCGGCCAUGAGAUGAGUGUCCGGCCUGAGCAGGCACACCAUGAAUAGAUACACAACAAUCAGGCAGCUCGGGGAUGGAACCUACGGUUCCGUCCUGCUGGGAAGAAGCAUUGAGUCUGGGGAGCUGAUUGCUAUUAAAAAAAUGAAAAGAAAAUUUUAUUCCUGGGAGGAAUGCAUGAACCU
rnacentral:lncRNA from 1 species